rnacentral:sRNA from 1 species
UUACCCCAUGAUGCUCAGGUCCGCCGCAUCUCCUGGGUCGUGGGGUUUGUCGACUGGUCUACAACACCUGCGGUUCCUCGUGCCGCCGUUGCCGGCCAGUCGACACCCUU